GACGAACGCUGGCGGCGUGCCUAAUACAUGCAAGUAGGACGCAGUUGCGAACGGGUGAGUAACGCGUAGGUAACUACCUAUUAGAGGGGGAUAACUAUUGGAAACGAUAGCUAAUACCGCAUACUAGUAGAUGGACCUGCGUUUUAUUAGCUAUUCGGGAGGGUAAUGGCCUACCUAGGCAACGAUACAUAGCCGACCUGAGGGGGUGAGUGGCCACAAUGGGACUUGGAAACGGCCCAGACUCCUACGGGAGGCAGCAGGAGGGAAUCUUCGGCAAUGGGGGGAACCCUUACCGAGCAACGCCGCGGGAGUGAAGAAGGUUUUCUGAUCGUAAAGCUCUGUUGUUAAGGAAGCGGUACUUAACCAGAAAGGGACGGCUAACUACGUGCCAGCAGCCGCGGUAAUUC
rnacentral:rRNA from 1 species